rnacentral:rRNA from 1 species
GUGUCAGCCGCCGCGGUAAUACGGAGGGGGCAAGCGUUACUCGGAAUUAUUGGGCGUAAAGGGCGCGUAGGUGGUCGCGUGCGUCGGAGGUGAAAUACCCGGGCUCAACCCGGGAACUGCCUCCGAUACGGCGUGGCUUGAGUCCGGGAGAGGGGAGCAGAAUUCCCAGUGUAGCGGUGAAAUGCGUAGAUACUGGGAGGAAUACCGGUGGCGAAGGCGGCUCCCUGGACCGGUACUGACGCUGAGGCGCGAAAGCGUGGGGAGCAAACAGGAUUAGAAACCCGCGUAGUCC